rnacentral:rRNA from 1 species
GUGUUGCCUGCAAGGGCGUAUGGUGGAUGCCUUGGCAGACAGGACCGAUGAAGGACGUUUGAGGCUGCGAUAUGCCUCGGGGAGCCGCCAACAGGGCUUUGAUCCGAGGAUUUCCGAAUGGGGGAACCCACCGGCCGUCAUGGGCCGGUACCGCCGUGUGCGGGGGGUACGCAGGGAAGUGAAACAUCUCAGUACCUGCAGGAAAGGAUAUUCCGUGAGUAGUGGCGAGCGAAAGCGGAUCAGGCCAAACCUUGCGCGUGUGAUACCCGUCGGGGGUUGCGCGCGGGGUGUAGAGGGAUCGCGUUUGCCGGCUCCGACGGGCCGGCCGUCAGUUGCAUAAAACCAUGUGCCAGGGGAACCGGGUUGAAUACCGGGCCGCAGAGGGUGAGGGCCCCGUACCCGAACGCGCAUGGUCUGGCGAUCGCGUCUCCCAAGUAGCACGGGCCCCGUGGAAUCCCGUGCGAAUCUGUCCCGACCGUGGGAUAAGCCUAAAUAUUCCUGUCUGACCGAUAGCGAACGAGUACCGUGAGGGAAAGGUGAAAAGUACCCCGGGAGGGGAGUGAAACAGUCUCUGAAACCAUGCGCCUACGAACCGUCGGGGCCCUCUUGUGGGGUGACGGCGUGCCUAUCGAAAAAUGAGUCUGCGAGUCAGUGGCAUGUGGCGAGCAUAACCCGUGUGGGGUAUGCGUAGCGAAGGCGAGUCUUAAAAGGCGUUUGAGUCGCGUGUCCUGGACCCGAAGCGGGAUGAUCUAGCCCUGAGCAGGUUGAAGCGCGGGUAAGACCGUGUGGAGGACCGAACCCACCUGGGUUGAAAACCGGGGGGAUGACUUGGGGCUAGGGGUGAAAGGCCAAUCAAAUUCCGUGAUAGCUGGUUCUCUCCGAAAUGCAUUUAGGUGCAGCGUCGGAUCGAUUACAUCCGGGGGGUAGAGCGACUGGAUGCUUGCGGGCCCAUAUCGGGUACCAACAGCAACCAAACUCCGAAUACCCGUGAUGCGUAUCCCGGCAGUGAGUCGGCGGGGGAUAAGCUCCGUCGUCGAAAGGGAAACAGCCCAGAUCGUCGUCUAAGGUCCCCAAGCGUGUGCUAAGUGGGAAAGGAUGUGGAGUCGCAUAGACAGCCAGGAGGUUGGCUCAGAAGCAGCCACCCUUGAAAGAGUGCGUAACAGCUCACUGGUCUAGUGGUUCCGCGCCGACAAUGUAGCGGGGCUCAAGCACACCACCGAAGACGCGGCAGUAGCUUUGCUACUGGGUAGGAGAGCGUCCCAUGCGGGGCGAAGCGGCGGCGCAAGCCCGCCGUGGACCGCAUGGGAGUGAGAAUGCAGACAUGAGUAGCGAAAGACGGGUGAAGAUCCCGUCCGCUGGACGACCAAGGGUUCCAGGGCCACGUUCAUCGUCCCUGGGUGAGUCGGGUCCUAAGGCGAGGCCGACAGGCGUAGUCGAAUGGACGAACGGGUCGAUAUUCCCGUACCGGCAUGCAACCGGCAAAACCGAAUCCGCGAGUACUAACUUCCGGGUCCGGGCUCACGUCUCCUUCGGGAGCCGGAUGCCCUGGCCUGUUGGGACCGUAACGGUAGUAGGUCAGCGCGGGAGUGACGCAGAAGGGUAGCCGGCCGCGGAGGUGGUCUUCCGUGGUCAAGCACGCAGCCCGUCCCACAGGCAAAUCCGUGGGGCGCGUGGGCGAGGUGCGAUGAUGGGCGCCGCAGGGCGCGAUAUCCGGUGAUCCCGGCUGCCGAGAAAAGCUUCGGCGUGAGGCGGCAUGCCGCCCGUACCCCAAACCGACACUGGUGGUCAGGUAGAGAAUACCAAAGCGAUCGAGCGAAUCCUGGUCAAGGAACUCGGCAAAUCACUCCCGUUCCUUCGGUUUAAGGGAGACCCCCGAUGGUGAAGCGGCUUGCCCGCGGAGCUUUGGGGGUGGCACAGACCAGGGGGUAGCGACUGUUUACCAAAACACAGGAGCGUGCGAAGGCGCAAGCCGCUGUAUACGCUCUGACGCCUGCCCGGUGCCGGAAGGUUAAGAGGAUCCGUCAGGCCUCGGCCGAAGCGGUGAAUUCAAGCCCCGGUAAACGGCGGUGGUAACUAUAACCAUCCUAAGGUAGCGAAAUUCCUUGUCGGGUAAGUUCCGACCUGCACGAAUGGCGUAACGACUUCCCCACUGUCUCGACCAGGAGCUCGGCGAAAUUGCAGUACGAGUAAAGAUGCUCGUUAAGCGCAGAAGGACGAAAAGACCCCGGGACCUUUACUAUACCUUGGUAUUGGCAUUCGGUGUGGAUUGUGUAGCAUAGGCGGAAGGCUUCGAAGCCACGGCGCCAGCCGCGGUGGAGCCGCAAGGUGAAAUACCGCUCUGUUCGCAUUGGAUGUCUAACCUCGACCAGUCAUCCUGGUCAGGGACAGUGCCUGGCGGGUAGUUUAACUGGGGCGGUUGCCUCCCAAAGAGUAACGGAGGCGCUCAAAGGUUCCCUCAGCCCGGUUGGCAAUCGGGUGGCGAGUGUAAGUGCACAAGGGAGCUUGACUGCGAGACUGACGGGUCGAGCAGGGACGAAAGUCGGAACUAGUGAUCCGGUGCCGGUGUACGGACGCGGCAUCGCUCAACGGAUAAAAGGUACCCCGGGGAUAACAGGCUGAUCAUUCCCAAGAGUCCAUAUCGACGGGAUGGUUUGGCACCUCGAUGUCGGCUCGUCGCAUCCUGGGGCUGGAGCAGGUCCCAAGGGUUCGGCUGUUCGCCGAUUAAAGCGGCACGCGAGCUGGGUUCAGAACGUCGUGAGACAGUUUGGUCUCUAUCCUCUGCGCUCGUCGGAAUGUUGAGGAGGCCUGCCCAUAGUACGAGAGGACCUGGGUGGACGAACCUCUGGUAUGCCGGUUGUCACGCCAGUGGCACGGCCGGUUGGCUACGUUCGGAAGGGAUAACCGCUGAAAGCAUCUAAGCGGGAAGCCUGCUCCAAGAUAAGCAUUCCAUAGGACUACGGGUCCUUGAAGUCCCCAUGCAGAACACGUGGUUGAUAGGCCGGACGUGGAAGCCCCGCGAGGGGUGGAGCCGACCGGUACUAACGGACGAAAGGCAACACAAUCAUCCAACCCCGGUUGG